AGAGGUGGCAAGCGUUGUUCGGAAUUACUGGGCGUAAAGGGCGCGUAGGCGGUUCGUUAAGUCCUGUGUGAAAUCCCCCGGCUCAACUGGGGAACGGCACAGGAAACUAGCGGGCUUGAGUUCGGGAGAGGGAAGCGGAAUUCCGGGUGUAGCGGUGAAAUGCGUAGAUAUCCGGAGGAACACCGGUGGCGAAGGCGGCUUCCUGGACCGACACUGACGCUGAGGCGCGAAAGCUAGGGGAGCAAACGGGAUUAGAUACCCCGGUAGUCCUAGCUGUAAACGAUGAGUGCUGGGUGUAGGGGGUAUCAACCCCCCCUGUGCCGAAGCUAACGCAUUAAGCACUCCGCCUGGGGAGUACGGUCGCAAGGCUG
rnacentral:rRNA from 1 species